CGCCAGCCCGCUCAAGAAACUCAAAUGAAUUGACGGGGGCCCGCACAAGCGGUGGAGUAUGUGGUUUAAUUCGAUGCAACGCGAAGACCUUACCUGGUCUUGACAUCCCGGAGACCCUUAGGAAACUAGGGGGUGCUUCCAUCUGGAAGAAUCUGGAGACAGGUGCUGCAUGGCUGUCGUCAGCUCGUGUCGUGAGAUGUUGGGUUAAGUCCCGCAACGAGCGCAACCCUUGCCUUUAGUUGCCAGCAGUUCGGCUGGGCACUCUAAAGGGACUGCCGGUGUUAAACCGGAGGAAGGUGGGGAUGACGUCAAGUCCUCAUGGCCUUUAUGACCAGGGCUACACACGUACUACAAUGGCCGAUACAAAGGGCAGCGACACUGCGAGGUGAAGCCAAUCCCGUAAAAUCGGUCUCAGUCCGGAUUGGAGUCUGCAACUCGACUCCAUGAAGUUGGAAUCGCUAGUAAUCGUGGAUCAGCAUGCCACGGUGAAUACGUUCCCGGGCCUU
rnacentral:rRNA from 1 species